rnacentral:rRNA from 1 species
GGGUCAGUAGGUUGGUCGUGCCACCGGUACGUACUGGUCUCACUGAUUCCUCCUUCCUGAAGAACCGUAAUGCCAUUAAUUUGGUGUUGCAGGGAAACAGGACUGUUACUUUGAAAAAAUUAGAGUGUUUAAGGCAAGCUAACGCUUGAAUACAUUAGCAUGGAAUAAUGAAAUAGGACGAUCGAUCCUAUUUUGUUGGUUUCUAGGAUUGACGUA